rnacentral:ribozyme from 1 species
ACACAGCAUGAAAUAAAGAAAGAAAAGAAGAAAAAUGAUAUACUUUUAUGAAGAAAAGCACAAUUUACAAUAUCUCAUGGCUGGUUGGAAUGAUACUGAUAUUCUGUUGUUGUUGUUGUUGUUGUGUUCUGUUCCUCUCUCUCUCUC